rnacentral:rRNA from 1 species
GACGAACGCUGGCGGCGUGCUUAACACAUGCAAGUCGAACGGAGUGGCGAACGGGUGAGUAACACGUGGGUGACCUGCCCUGCACUCCGGGAUAAGCCUGGGAAACUGGGUUUAAUACCGGAUAGUGUGGGAUGGGCCCGCGGCUUAUCAGCUUGUUGGUGGGGUAAUGGCCUACCAAGGCGGCGACGGGUAGCCGGCCUGAGAGGGUGGACGGCCACAAUGGGACUGAGGCACGGCGCAGAAGGCUACGGGAGGCAGCGGUCGGGAGUCUUGCACAAUGGGCGGAAGCCUGAUGCGACGACGCCGGGUGGGGGAUGACGGCUUUCGGGUUGUAAACUCCUUUCACCAUCGACGCGGUAGAUGGAGAAGAAGCACCGGCUAACUACGUGCCAGCAGCCGCGGUAAUAC